UACGAAGGGGGCUAGCGUUGCUCGGAAUUACUGGGCGUAAAGGGCGCGUAGGCGGACAGUUAAGUCGGGGGUGAAAGCCCGGGGCUCAACCUCGGAAUUGCCUUCGAUACUGGCUGUCUUGAGUGCGGGAGAGGUGAGUGGAACUGCGAGUGUAGAGGUGAAAUUCGUAGAUAUUCGCAAGAACACCAGUGGCGAAGGCGGCUCACUGGCCCGAUACUGACGCUGAGGCACGAAAGCGUGGGGAGCAAACAGG
rnacentral:rRNA from 1 species